ACGUCAGCAGUCAGCUCAAUGACGCUCCGUCCUUAAAGCAGCCCACCCCCCUGUAGUCCAGCCGGACACAGACCGUCACAUCCCGAAGGUAUUUUUAACUAACAUGUUCAACAAAGUUAUGAAACAACCCUGGAGCAUCCAGAACCUCGUCCAGGCCUGCUGACCCAGAGAUACAGGAUGAAGUAUCAAAGACAAUAUAACCAAAGUGAUUUGCAGUGAAUGGAGCUCAUCCAACAUAAUGGUGU